CCCCUGGUGGUCCAGUGAUUAAGACUCCAUGCUUUGAAUGCAGGGGAUUCAGGUUCAAUCCCUGGUCGGGGAA
rnacentral:tRNA from 1 species